AGUCACUGACAUUAGAUACCCCCGUAGUCCAGGGUGUAAACGCUGCGGGCUUGGUGUUGGGGUCCUUAGUGGGCGCCCAGUGCCGGAGAGAAGUUGUUAAGCCUGCUGCUUGGGGAGUAUGUCCGCAAGGAUGAAACUUAAAGGAAUUGGCGGGGGGAGCACCGCAACGGGAGGAGCGUGCGGUUCAAUUGGAUUCAACGCCGAAAAACUCACCAGGAGCGACGGAUAUAUGAAGGUCAAGCUGAUGACUUUACCUGAUUUUCCG
rnacentral:rRNA from 1 species